GAAAACACCAUCCUGGCCACUAUGGACGUAGAAGCCCUCUACACCAAUAUUCCACACAAAGAUGGACUACAAGCUAUCAGGAACAGUAUCCCCGAUAAUGUCACAGCUAACCUGAUGGCUGAACUUUGUGACUUUGUCCUCAUCCACAACUAUUUCACAUUUGGGGACAAUAUAUACCUUCAAGUCAGCAGCACUGCUAUGGGUACCCGCAUGGCCCCACAGUAUGCCAACAUUUUUAUGGCUGACUUAGAACAACGCUUCCUUAGCUCUCGUCCCCUAACGCCCCUACUCUACUUGUGCUACAUUGAUGACAUCUUCAUCAUCACCCAUGGAAAAGAAGCCCUUGAGGAAUUCCACCAUGAUUUCAAUAAUUUCCAUCCCACCAUCAACCUCAGCCUAGAUCAAUCCACACAAGCGGUCCAUUUCCUGGACACUACUGUGCUAAUCAGCGAUGGUCACAUAAAUACCACCCUAUACCGGAAACCUACUGACCGCUACACUUACCUACAUGCCUCCAGCUUCCAUCCAGGACACACCACACGAUCCAUUGUCUACAGCCAAGCUCUAAGAUAUGACCGCAUUUGCUCCAAUCCCUCAGAUAGAGACAAGCACCUACAAGAUCUCUAUCAAGCAUUCUUAAAACUACAAUACCCACCUGCUGAAGUGAAAAAACAGAUUGAUAGAGCCAGACGAGUACCCAGAAGUCACCUCCUACAAGACAGGCCCAACAAAGAAAAUAACAGAACACCACUAGCUGUCACUUUCAGCCCCCAACUAAAACCUCUCCAGCGCAUCAUCAGAGAUCUACAACCUAUCCUGAAAAAUGAUCCUUUACUCUCACAGAUCUUGGGAGACAGACCUAUCCUCGCUUACAGACAACCCCCCAACCUAAAGCAAAUACUCACCAGCAACCACACAUCACUGAACAAAAACACUGACCCAGGAACCUAUCCUUGUAACAAAGCCCAAUGCCAACUCUGUCCAUAUAUCUAUUCAAGUGACAUCAUCAUAGGACCUAAUCACAUCAGCCAUACCAUCAGGGGCUCAUUCAUCUGCACAUCUACCAAUGUGAUAUAUGCCAUCAUGUGCCAGCAAUGCCCCUCUGCCAUCUACAAUGGCCAAACCGGACAGUCU
rnacentral:lncRNA from 1 species